GUAACUAUAACAUAUGGAAGGUGAAGAUGCAUAACUUUUUCUCAUGGAGAUGUUAGACAAAGAAACCAUAGAGUUUUUGCCAUGAGAUAGAUAAAUUAAAAUUUUGUUAAAACAUAGAAGGUAGACUUCCUGAUAUGGUGGUGGUGAUAAUUAGCUUUUGGGUUAACUUUAUAUAGAGCUUGUGUUUGAUAAUUAGCUAAAUUUACAUAUUCAA
rnacentral:lncRNA from 1 species